UAAUUUUGUCUUCUUGGUUAUCAUCCACAAUGUACAGACGGUGGAUAUAUAUGUGCCUUGUAUUCUACCUUACUUUGGAAACUUCUUAUUCACAGUGUUCUGACGACAAAACCUGUGAAUGUCACUGCAAUUGUUGUUCAAACUGCCUUGGAUUUUAUUGUACCUCGUGCAACAGAGAAGGCUGGAGUGGUUUAACUGCCAACGGAUGCCAGAGAAAGAAUAUAGCUUAUAAUCAGACAACAUAUCAAAAAUCCACAAAUACGGAUUCAAGUAAUGCAGUAGAUGAAAAAAUCUCAACAUACUCUAGGACUGAAGUUCAGAAAAAUCCUUGGAUAAAAGUGAAGUUUGAUAAAAUCGAAAGAGUGAAACACAUGUUCAUAACACUUUCGGCGGUUUUUGGUGAAGAAAUAAAGAUAAAGACAACGGAUAAACUCCACCCUACGCGAAAUCCACUCAAACUCAUAUGGGCCUAGAACGAAUGUUAGUACUGUAGAAAUUAUACAAUUUGUAUGAUGUUUCAAUGCGCGGAAUCUAUUUCCACGUAAUCAGUCCACAUGAAACUUUAAAAUAUUGACAAUCCACGAAAAUUAGCCCGCAAUAAUAUACAUGAUUCCACAGUAUCGAUACACCUUACAAUUUAACUCAUCGAGAUUUUGUUUGCUGUGCCAUGUACAUGUAUCAACUUCUAAUAUCUUUGGUUUAAAUACAUUUAACCUUUUUGAUGCAAGAUAUCGGGAACAUUCUCAAAACAAUAUUGGUGGAAAUGAACACCAGUUUAUUGGUACUUUAUACCUCAUAGAUAUGCACAUUUACUAUUCUAAUAUUCUCGCACUGCAAAGUACAGACUAUUUUUUUUAACUUUAUUGUUUAAAUGUCUACAGUAACAUGCGUUCUCUGUUUUAAUUGGUGUUGCGGAAACGCGGAACGGAAAACUGAACGGAACAGAAAUUUAAAAACUAGAAAUGUAGCUAACAUAACACCAAAACAAAAAUCAGGCAAAUGUGGUUUAUUUUUAUUAAAUUCAAAAUGAGAAUUUAUUUACAAUCGAUAAAAGAAUUAAUAAAUCUCAUAAUUCUGCAUGAUAAAUUGAUUAAGCAUAUGGAAAGUUGAAGAUAACGAACAGUGAUCAACCUCAUAACCAAGUUGAAUGUUAGCGAGCAGCGACACCUAUAAGUAGAGAAUAGAAAAAACGCAGUCUGACUCAGGGUGUAUAAUUAUACCCCCUUCAAAACAUCUUUAACGCACAUGUAUAUUCAUAAAAUACAGUGUAUGUGUGUACUUACAUUCUUCGUGUUACAACAGGAAGUAUGGUAUGUGAAGGUGAUAAACAACGAUAAUCCAUAAUUUUAUUAAACCAACAAGUUGAACAUCUUGUGUUUGAUUUAUUAUUUUCUAACUAACAGCGACUGAUGACCGUAGCACUCCAAUCCUACAUUUUAACAGAUAGGCGAGAACUUCUGGAAAUUUAUUUCUAAUCCAACUAUUGAUAUCUUAAUAUUAAUAUGACGUCCAUUUCAUCCAAUCCAUAUGUAAAUUAUCUGUUAGCCGUUUACCUAUUUCAUAUAUUAUGAAAUACAGCUGUUAAUGCCUCUUAUAUGUACUAAAGUCAUAAACUUCAUCUUAGUUUAUUUUGAUUCUGUUUCAUUCGUUUUCCCCACCGUUUCUCUUCGAGUCCACCUUUCCACAGAAUACCGGUAAAUCUACGAAAUUUCACUUUACAUUAUGUCAAUAAUGAUAAUAUCCUUUUUAUGGAGCAAAGUAUAUUACUUAAUGACCUAUUAGAAAAUCAAAUGAUAAGCAGUUGCAUGCCAUAUAAUUAUAAUGAAAAAACUUUAUAAUUCCAUAUAAAGAAAACAAUACAUGAUUGGAAAGGGUGUAUCGUUCCCCUGGAAGUAUACGUACUAUAUAUGAAGUCUAACGUCAACAUACUUGCAAAAUAAUUGAGCAGAUAUUUUUUUUUAAAUGAACAGUUACACGGACGCAUGAGCAAAGGUUUGCCCCUUUGAAUCAAAUAUCGUAUAAUGUAUAGUUUCUGUAUUUUUUUUGGGGUAGGAAUUGGAAGUUACUUUGUCUAUGUGAAGAAUUCGUCAAAUGAGAAUUUAGAUAGAGAAUCUUUGUGUGCCAGAAUACAGAAUAAUGAACGUCAGUCAUUGAAAUGGAACAUUACAUGUAAAAAUGACCAAGCAAUUACCGGUGAUCAAAUUGUCAUUUUGAGGGAAACAACAAGAGGAAGUUUGAUCGUGUAUGAUAUCAAAGUGUUUCAAUGCAGCACAGGAACAUAUGGGUACUUGUGUGACAAGACGUGUGUAAAGUGUAUGGACAAUCAAUGUGACGGAUUCACGGGAGUUUGCAUAAAAGGCUGCAAGAGUGGUUGGUAUGGAGACAGGUGUGACGUAGAAUGCCCCUCUGAUUGUGAAAGUGGUUCCUGUGCCAGUGGUAACAACUGUACACGAUGUUUACCGGGAUAUUUUGUAAUGAAUUAAUACCGUCAAAUAGUACGUCAUCAACAACGCCUUAUGUCUACGUUGUCGCCGUCCUUGGAGGUCUGUUACUGGUACUGACAAUUACACUGGUUACAUUCUUUGUGAAACGAAAAAGGGAGCGAGAAAGAACGAUUCGGAUGACUUAUCAAACUGUCCAAGUCGGCUGCCAAAAAACUGACCAUGACUACGAAUGUGUUAGCAUUGAACAUGAUUAUGGAACUAUCGAUUCCUGAGAGCUGUGUCACAAAUGAAGGAGUUAAAGACAAAAAUAUACAUAAAGGAACAUGUAAAAUUUCGUUCCAUUACUAUUUUACUACGUGAUUCAAAUACAUACAAGUCAGACUCUCUCUCUCUCUCUCUCUCUCUCUCUCUCUCUCUCUCUCUCUCUCUCUCUCUGUGUGUGUGUGUGUGUGUGUGUGUGUGUGUGUUACUGUUAAUGUUAUACAACUCUUCCUUGUGAUCAGUAUAUUUGUUACGGUAUGUGUGUAUCCGAUGUUUUGUAAGAUUUACUGAGUCAAACAAAGUGUUUCCUGCAACACUGUAGUUCUUCUAAAAAUGUUGGACCUACCAGAAAAUCUUCAAUAUGCAGUAUUUUUUUCCUGGGCGCCAUUGGCAUCUUAUAUCGUGUAUUUUUGUAUCGUUGUCUCAAAAUUUUAUAUCAAAUCAUUUCUAAGAUAUGUUCCCACAACACUUGUGCAAAUCUAAAACUCGCAGGUUAAAAUAUUUUUUGUUUGUUAACGAAGUCAUGUAAUGAAUACUUCCUGCAAAUUAUCCAUUUCAAACUAUGUUACUUGGAUGCGUCAAAACAAAUGAAGUGCUUUUUAUGUGGAAAAAAGAAAUAUACGUUUAAAAUAGAAACAAAAAACAAUUAAGUUGGGGAUGGGUUAGGAGUAUCAACUUCUUAUACCAAACUUAAUGCUAUGCCAGGUCACUGGGUUCCAAGGCAAUCGGUCAAGUCCUCCGGGUCCCCCCCCCUCUCUCUCUCUAUCUGUGUGUGUGUGUGUUAAAUUGCGAUGGGUAAUUCGGCGGAAAUUAUCAUGAAUAAAUUGAGAAUUCAAACUUUCUAAAAUUAAAAUGUCGGUGCUUCAUGAUCAGCAAAUGAAUGUAUUUUAUAUAUCCAUAUCAGUUAACGUUAAGGAUAAUAAUAUGAGCUAUUUUAGGAUGUUAUAAGGAGAUAAUUUUAAAGAUUUUUGUGUCAUUACUCCUCCCAAAUGCGAAAGAGUAUAAAUAUUGCGAUAAUUUAUCACUUCAUCGUACCAUUUCUUGCUACUGGACUGGUAGGCUGCGUUAUUUCAAGUGCCAAUCCAUUAAAUAUUACCUAUUUUUACACGAAGUGUUGUAUAUAUAUGUCGUAUUUUGAUUUUCGCUUUGUUUUAAACAUCUCCAAAUUGUUUUAUUCGGAACACCUUUGCACAUGCAAUUUCCGAAGGUAUUUAGCGUCAAAGUGUCACAAAGAAAAGAAAGAAAACUUAUCUAAUAUUGACAUAAACGUCAAAUUAGGCUACAGCGUCUUGGUAACCCUCAAGACUAUUUUACAAACAUACGAUGUAAAGCAAAACAUUUAUAAACCUUCACCUUAUACAUGUAUAUAUCAAAGCUUAUUUUUUCCUUAAAGGAAAAGUAACUUAAGGAUCUUGUUCACAUUUCAGGUCGUAUUAUACUGCCAUUAAAUAGCUUUUUUUUUGUAAUUCAUUUUUUUUAAUUUAUUCAUUUUGUGUUUGUUUUCACAAUAAAUAAACAUUUACAUAUCCACAACACAUGAUAAUAUAGUAUACACAUAUUUCAAGCAACUACAAACGUGUGUAUAUUUAGAUAUGUAUAUAGUGUGAAAAGUUUUUAACAAAAUUAAAUAGCUUUCAUCUCCAAAGUAAAACAUAAUAAGUCGUCUGUAGAAUAUGAUAUUUGCAUUUAUGAAUUUCUUUUUAAAUUGUGCUUUGCAUUAGCCCUCUGUAAGUCAUGUACAUAAAAUAGUUUUAAAGGACAGUAUGAUAUCAAUAUUGAUAUUAUAUAAAGAUGUGAUUGAACAGUUAUCAAUACGUGAGUGAAAAUUUGGUCCAUGUAAUACACAAUAGCUAUAAUUCAGAAUACACUCUGUUUGCAAUCUUAACGGUUUGCACAAUGAAAGUUAAAGAUAACAAACAGUGAUCAAUCUCAUUACUCCUAUAAGCAAUACAAAAUAAAGAGUUGGGCAAACACGGAACCCUGGAUAUACUAGAGGUGGGAUUAGGUGCCUACGAGGAAUAAGCAUCCCCUGUCGACCGGUCACACCCGUCGUAAGCCCUAUAUAUCGAUCAGAUAAACAGAGUAAUCUGUGGUCAAAAUCAGUGUGCCAAGAACGAUCUAAUAAUCGGCAAGAAACACGUCAGACAAUAUUGAACCAAAUGAUACAUGUAGGUUGUAUUGGCAAAUUAGAUCGUUAUAACUGUCAUAGAAUUUGCAAAAUGCUGACCUUAAACGAGACGAAACCCUGCGCCAUCAACUUGUUUGUCAGUAGCCUGCCUCGAUUUAAAAACUGAUCAUACGCAGGACACCUUGCGUAUAUCGAAUCAGUUGAGAGAUAUAAACACUAUCUACAGAUAAUACUAGAAUAUUGCUACAUAAAUAUGGGAAGUUGACGAUGGAUAAGCUGAAAUCAUCCCGUUUGUCAUAAAGAUGGGUGGUUAGUUUGCCGUUAGUAUCGAUUUCCAAUAAAAUAUCUAACUAUGAAGCAAAACUGGACGACUCUGGGGUGUCUUUUAUUUCGAAUUCACGGGUAUUUUGAUUGAUUGAUUUUGAUCUUGCGUCGUUUCCUCAAUAUUUCAGUCAUUUUACGGCGGUUAACUAGUUGAAAUAUGUUUGGUUUUGGGUGUUUGAUUUUCUCUGACCGCAUCCAGUGAGUCUCCUCUUUUUCAAAAAUCGGGGAAACGAUCUUUUGUGUGCCAAGGGGGUUGUGAUCCUUGACACGGGACACCGUUUAACGUCUCAUCCGACGGACAUUUAACGGGGAUAUAUCGAUUCGACAUAUGAAUGAAAAUUAUCAUUGUUUAUAGAUAAAACAUCGUUGAUAUAUCUAAAUGUCGAAUUCAAGACCACAGCAAGAAUUUUUUUCUUCUCACGUAAAAGUUUUGUAAUAACUUCUGCUUCAUAGGAAUAUAAAACCAGGUCAGCUAACAAAGGAGCACAAUUCGUGCCCAUGGGAAUUCUAACAGACUGUUGGAAGACCUGAUCACCAAAGACUACGAAGAUAUUGUCAAUGAGGAACUGCAGCAUAUUUUUUAUUUCAACUUCAGAGUACUCGUGCAUGGAACCAGAGUGGUGUUUAACAAAGUAAUCUUUCGGAUGAUUGAUCACUAGAUAUGAAUAUUUGCGUUUUCCAUUUUUGUUGAACAUGCAACUGUUAAUGACGUCAAAUAGUCUAGUCUUUAAUUAAUUUAUGUUGUUGAUUUGAAAAAAGUCUUGCGAUUUUAAGUUUACUAAAAGUUCUUUAGAGUUUUUUAGAAUUCACAUUUGAUUUACACCACUUCUGGCAUAAUUAUGUAGUCGCACAGUAAGUUUGAAGUUUCUCUUUCACAGUUGUUAAUAUUUUCGUGAGGAGCAAAGAUAGAGGCUUCGUAGAGCACUUACUGGAUCCAGCAGUGUAUCUUUGAUUGUAAGGGUCCAAAAGAAACUAAAAGCAAAGGAAGAAAAGAAAGUACAUAUCCAGCUGAAUAUUUUCUCCUGCGUUGGAGAAAUGGUCGAAUCACAGCAAAAAUCAUGAUUUCGGUUACAGAACACUAGUACUUAGGGACGCAGGACUUUCUCUCCCCCUCCCUGUAUUUUUAUUACCUCCAGGAGUAGGUUGGAGUCAUAAUAGAGGAUUUUAGCUUUUCAUAAAUGUCUUUAAAAUUCUUCAUCCCCUAGGCACCUGAUCCCACCUCUGAUAUAUCAAGGGGUCCGUGUUUGUUCAACUUUCUAUUUUGCAUUCUUUAUAGGAGUUCUGAGAUUGAUUACUGUUCCUUAUCUUCACCUUUCAUCUCAACAACAGCAGGUCGAUGAAUACAAUGUAGUUAUCUUAAUAUGGAAUCAUUCUCCGGUAGUUCAAAUUGAAUUUCGUUCAAUUCAAGUCAGAUUUGGAAUAUACAGGAUAUCAAUUAAAACAAAUUCUUUUCAAAACUAACAGGGCCACACUAAUCAUAUUAAAAACAAAUGUCCCUAUUUUGAAUGAAUUCAAGUUUUUUUUUCUUUUCAAAUCAUUAAGUUAUUGAAAGGACAUAGGCACGAUUUGAGCUGAAAAUUAAGAUUUUUUUUUUUCAUUUUUAUUGUUUAAAAUGCUGAACUAAAUUAUUUCUAAUCGUCAACAAAAUUUGAAUAUCAGUUGUUGAGUUAUAAGUGAGAUACAUCAUUCACCGACAGAAACUGGACGAUGGAAUAAUUAUAAUGUUAAUAGGGAAAAUAGAACAUGCUGUUUAUGUAACGUAGAUAAUGUAGGUGAUGAAUACAUUAUAUUAUGCAUUGGGAAAAGUUUGAACAUGAAAGAAAAGCAUUUGUACCAAAAUAUUAUUGAUCAUGACCAAAUGCUUUCAAAUUUUACAAUGUUUUCUCUACACAGAACGAUUUGUUGUUAAACACUAUAUUCAAAUUUAUAAAAACCGUAAACGAGACGGUCUAUCCUCCUGGUUAGUCAACUGUUAUGGUAUUUGAUACUUGCAAUACAUGUAUAUAUAAACACUGUCUUCUCUGCUCUGUUUACGCAUACUUAUAAUUGUAUUAAAUUGUUUUUGUUUAUAUGUUCUAUAUGUUGUGACUUUCAACUGAGAAAAAUAAACUCAUUCAUUCAUGAA